GCGUAUACAGCGAGCGCGCGCGCCAGCCUUAGGUUGGUCGCGGCAAUUACGGCGUUGCGCGCGACAGCGACCCCCGCGACGAGCCUGCGCGCGUCGGCCGAGCGUGACGAUUAGCGCCCUGGCCAAGAAGGCGAGCAGACCCGAUGGUCAACCAUUUGUAUAUGUUAUACCCUGGCCUUCUCACUACAUGGUAAAUGAAAGCACUGAGCCAACACUUGGAAGAUGCAAUGCAAACUUCCAUGAAGGAAAAUAAUAUCUCAGUUUUCUAUUGGACGAGUUGUGAUUACAAAGGAAUGUAUGUCAUGCUUGUAACAGAAACUGUUCCUUGAAAAAUUAAUGUCUUCACAUUGCAUAUCAUUGGUUUGGUUUGUGCUGAAUAUACAGUUUCUUUUAUAAUUUUGCAUGAAAAUAUGUGAGAAAUUGGACCAACAGUGCAAUACUCAGCUUUCUAUUGGUUUGUCCCUCAACCUGGCAUUCACCUUUCAUUCUAUUUGUAUGAAGUGAAUAGCCAAAAUGUUGGUCUGUUCUUGCUAAACUUGAAUUUUUAUAUUAGUGCACAACGAAUUUUGUUAGGUGGUUGUGUGAUGAACACAGAUAAGGCUUAUUUUGAAGUUCUCUAUUCUGUUUAGUGCAUUCUAAAUUUCAGAUAUUCACAUAACUAAUUCAUACUCUUCAUAUAUACUGUCAAUUGCUGGAAAUAUGGGAAACAUUAGCAGGGAAUGACCUGAUGUAUGUUGUUUACAAAUUUAAAUUUGCCAAACAACAAAUGUUAUUUGUUUACAACUGCAAGGAAUGACUUGCCUAAGUGCAAGCAGGGGUAACAAAAGAAUCUGCCAGCUGCCGCAGCUAGCAAUUGUGUCAUUUUUGAAAGUUUUGAUCACACUUCGUCUAUUUAUAGCGAUUUUUUUUUACCUUCCACGAGUUAUAUAUAAUUUGCAGAGCACAACUGCACUUCAGUGAUACAAUGACUUUUUAAGAUGGCAGUGAAACUGUGGAAAUAAAGGUUUGUUGUUGAACGCACCUGAUCAUGUGCUCUUCCUUUUUGUCCUUAAUUAGCAACUUGAUGGUCCAUCCUUAAUACGUUCAUGUGGACUAUCCCAUUUUCAGUUUAACAGACACCUGUACUCAUUCGGUUGGUUCUAUACACAUGUUUGAAAAAAAAUAGGACAUAUUUUUUCCCUGAAAUGUCUACCAUAGGGAGGUGAUGCCAAGAUGUUCAUUUCUUUCACGCGGGAGUGCUAGAUGAUUUCCCAACUAGCCCCUAUUACAUUUUAUUGCCCCUUUAUUAAGCCUCUAGCUAUAACACUUUACACACACCAGCUUAAUUAUCUAGCCACAGGGACAGGGAGAAGAACUCUAUGUUGAGCUUAUUGUGCCAUCUGUUCCAUCUUCCAUCAUCAAUCAUUAAUAAGCAUGGCUAGGAAGUGCUCUAGCUGUGGAAAAAAUGGGCACAACUCCAGGAUUUGCAGUGGCCAAAGAGUUCUAGAGCAUAGCAGCAGCAGCAGCAAAUUAUUCCUGCACAUAAUCGAUUUUCGCAAGGGAAGUGAAUACUGCUGGUUCCUAGCAAAAUCACAAGUUGUUAUGGACCUACGGUGCAUAAGCCGCAUGGAGAUCUUUGGAGGGGUAUAUAAUUGAUUUUUCUUAAUGUAAUAGCUACUGUUAAUUUCGACAAAUUACAUUGGUCCAAUGUCAGUUGAGCGCGGCAAGGCCGCGCCGUUGUUUCUAGUAACUAUCUUAAAAUUUCCAAUAAUUUUUAGCAUUUUUAUUAAGGACUAGAAAUAAGUAUACUACAACACGAUUUAGAAAAUAGGUACACAAGUUGUUAUUAAGUAUUACCUUUAAUAUAUAGUCUCAGUAACAUUACUGGAACUGAUAUUUGAUGGGUCAUGCAAAAUCCACAUUAGUCCCAGUUCGAGUAGGAACCGGGACUAAAGAUAUUAUUUAGUCCCGGUUUAAAAUUUUAAGAUCUUUAUCGACCGGGACUAAAGAUCAUUUUUAGUCCCGUUUCAAAAUAGGUCAGGUGUCCCACCAACUCCGAGAAUAAAGAUAAAUGCACCGUAUAUAGGGCCUGUUUUAGGGAGCUUAAGAUUCUGAGAAACAGCUGCUGAGAAGCUAGCUGGUGAGAAUCUAGAGAAGCUGGGAACUAGAACUCAGCUUCUGACUUCUAAUUCAUUUUCUAGAUUCUACAACUACAGAUUCUCAGAAUCUAGGUAAAAAGCUGGACUGUUUGGGGGAGCUUCUGGCAACUGGAGAUUCUAGGAGAAGCUGCAGCUGCUAAAAGCUCCCCUAAACAGGCCCAUAAUCCCUAGCACUUAUCCUCAUCUCCACACAAACUACUCCUCAUCUGUAACUAGCUUUACUCCUCUCUCUCUCUCCUCUCUAUCUUAUCUCUAUUCUCUCAUCCUCUUAUUUUCUUUUCUAGCUUCAUCUCUAGCGGCGAGGCGCAGCACCGGGCGAGCGCGGCGCCGGGCGGCGGCGGCGCCUGUGCGCGGCGCCGGGCAGCGGGGGCGGCCAGCACUGCGCCGGGCAGCGGCGGCCAGCGCGGCACCGGGCGGGGGCGCAUGCGCGCGCUGGGAGCCAUGUCGGGCGGCGGAGGCGGCCAGCAUGGCGCCAGGCAGGGAGUAGCGCCGAGCGGGGAAGCCUGCACGCGCUGGGCGGGAGCGGCAGCCAGCGUGGCGCUAGGCGUGGAUCAGCGUCGGGCGGUGGCUUGUGCGGAGAGCGGCGGCGGCAUGUGCGAAUGCGAAUUUUUCCUGUGAAUUUGUUUAUUUGUGAUGUGAAUUUGUUCACACUGUGGAUCUGUGAAUUUGUGAUGUCAAUUGGAGUAUGUUCAUUGGAUCUAUGAAGUUGUGGAUGAUUUUCUGACGUUUUGUGAAUGGGAUGAUUUUGUUGUUGA